rnacentral:rRNA from 1 species
AUUGAACGCUGGCGGCAGGCCUAACACAUGCAAGUCGAGCGGAAACGACACUAACAAUCCUUCGGGUGCGUUAAUGGGCGUCGAGCGGCGGACGGGUGAGUAAUGCCUAGGAAAUUGCCUUGAUGUGGGGGAUAACCAUUGGAAACGAUGGCUAAUACCGCAUAAUGCCUACGGGCCAAAGAGGGGGACCUUCGGGCCUCUCGCGUCAAGAUAUGCCUAGGUGGGAUUAGCUAGUUGGUGAGGUAAUGGCUCACCAAGGCGACGAUCCCUAGCUGGUCUGAGAGGAUGAUCAGCCACACUGGAACUGAGACACGGUCCAGACUCCUACGGGAGGCAGCAGUGGGGAAUAUUGCACAAUGGGCGAAAGCCUGAUGCAGCCAUGCCGCGUGUAUGAAGAAGGCCUUCGGGUUGUAAAGUACUUUCAGUUGUGAGGAAGGGGGUGUCGUUAAUAGCGGCAUCUCUUGACGUUAGCAACAGAAGAAGCACCGGCUAACUCCGUGCCAGCAGCCGCGGUAAUACGGAGGGUGCGAGCGUUAAUCGGAAUUACUGGGCGUAAAGCGCAUGCAGGUGGUUCAUUAAGUCAGAUGUGAAAGCCCGGGGCUCAACCUCGGAACUGCAUUUGAAACUGGUGAACUAGAGUACUGUAGAGGGGGGUAGAAUUUCAGGUGUAGCGGUGAAAUGCGUAGAGAUCUGAAGGAAUACCAGUGGCGAAGGCGGCCCCCUGGA